rnacentral:rRNA from 1 species
GAUGAACGCUAGCGAUAGGCCUAACACAUGCAAGUCGAGGGGCAGCACAUGAGGUAGCAAUACCGAUGGUGGCGACCGGCGCACGGGUGAGUAACACGUAUGCAACCUGCCUUCAACAAGGGCAUAACCCGUUGAAAGACGGACUAAUACCCUAUAAUACAGGGGCCCCGCAUGGGGAUAUUUGUUAAAGAUUUAUCGGUUGAAGAUGGGCAUGCGUUCCAUUAGCUGGUUGGUGGGGUAACGGCCCACCAAGGCAACGAUGGAUAGGGGAACUGAGAGGUUUAUCCCCCACACUGGUACUGAGACACGGACCAGACUCCUACGGGAGGCAGCAGUGAGGAAUAUUGGUCAAUGGGCGAGAGCCUGAACCAGCCAAGUCGCGUGCAGGAAGAAUGUCCUAUGGAUUGUAAACUGCUUUUGCAGGGGAAUAAAGUGAGCCACGUGUGGUUUUUUGUAUGUACUCUGCGAAUAAGGAUCGGCUAACUCCGUGCC